CUUCGGAGAUACACGAGUGGCGCACGGGUGCGUAACGCGUAUGAACCUACCUUGAACUGGAAGAUAGCCCCGAGAAAUCGGGAUUAAUAUUCCAUAAUGUCCAUUUUUUGCAUAUGAGAUGGAUUAAAGUUACGGCGGUUCAAGAUGGGCAUGCGUGACAUUAGCUAGUUGGUGAGGUAACGGCUCACCAAUGCGACGAUGUCUAGGGGUCCUGAGAGGGUUUCCCUCCACACUGGUACUGAGACACGGACCAGACUCCUACGGGAGGCAGCAGUAAGGAAUAUUGGUCAAUGGACGCAAGUCUGAACCAGCCAUGCCGCGUGCAGGAUGACUGCCCUACGGGUUGUAAACUGCUUUUACGUGAGAAAAAACUCCCCGAUUCGUUCGGGGACUGAUGGUAUCACAUGAAUAAGCAUCGGCUAACUCCGUGCCAGCAGCCGCGGUAAUACGGAGGAUGCAAGCGUUAUCCGGAUUCAUUGGGUUUAAAGGGUGUGCAGGCGGAAUGAUAAGUCAGAGGUGAAAUCCCCCGGCUCAACCGGGGACCUGCCUUUGAUACUGUUGUUCUUGAGUAUAGUUGAAGUGGGCGGAAUGUGUCAUGUAGCGGUGAAAUGCAUAGAUAUGACACAGAACACCGAUAGCGAAGGCAGCUCACUAACCUAUAACUGACGCUCAUGCACGAAAGCGUGGGGAGCAAACAGGAUUAGAUACCCUGGUAGUCCACGCUGUAAACUAUGAUCACUAGUUGUUAGCGAUACACUGUUAGCGACUGAGGGAAACCAUUAAGUGAUCCACCUGGGGAGUACGGCCGCAAGGUUGAUACUCAAAGGAAUUGACGGGGGCCCGCACAAGCGGAGGAGCAUGUGGUUUAAUUCGAUGAUACGCGAGGAAC
rnacentral:rRNA from 1 species